GACAGAGGGUGCAAACGUUGCUCGGAAUCACUGGGCGUAAAGGGCGUGUAGGCGGGAAGGAAAGUCAGAUGUGAAAUCCCUGGGCUCAACCCAGGAACUGCAUUUGAAACUCCCUUUCUUGAGUACCGGAGAGGAAGGUGGAAUACCUGGUGUAGAGGUGAAAUUCGUAGAUAUCAGGAGGAAUACCUAUGGCGAAAGCAGGUAUCUGGGCCAUCACUGACGCUGAGCUGCGAAAGCUAGGGGAGCAAACAGG
rnacentral:rRNA from 1 species